GACGAACGCUGGCGGCGCGCUUAACACAUGCAAGUCGAGCGAAGCGGCGGACGGGUGAGUAACACGUGAGUAACCUGCCUUAGACAUUGGGAUAGCCUCGGGAAACCGGGAUUAAUAACAAAUGGUCUAAGAUGGACUCGCGUCCCAUUAGCUAGUUGGUGGGUAACGGCCCACCAAGGCGACGAUGGGUAGCCGGCCUGGGAGGGUGAACGGCCACAUUGGAACUGAGAAUCGGUCCAAACUCUGCGGGAGGCAGCAGUGGUGAAUAAUGCACAAUGGAGGGAACUCUGAUGCAGCGUGGCCGCGUGAACGAGGAAGGCUUUCGAGUCGUAAAGUUCGUUUAUAUGGGAAGCGGUACCAGAAGAAAAAGCCCCGGCUAACGACGUGCCAGCAGCCGCGGUAAUUC
rnacentral:rRNA from 1 species